CUGUGCUGAUAGCUCAGGCUGCCCGCACCUCCCUCCUCUGUUCGCAUUCACCGCUCGCCUGUUGGGGAUAUGCCAUGCAAAAUAGAAGUGGAUGGACAUCCUUCCAUCCCGGCCAGUGCAGAGCUGGCCACAGGCUGGGCCAGGAGAAUGACCACAGGCCUCUGCUGGGGAGCGCCAGCAGGCCUCCAGGGACCAUUGAGCACAGAAGGUGGCGUCACUGGAAGAGCUUGUGCAGUCCUCCUGCCGGGAUGAUGGCCCAGUUCCGCCCUGCGUGGCUGCGUGGACCCUCUUCUGCAAAGCAACAACACCCAGUUGUGAAGGUAGUUUCCUGGGAGGCUUAGCUUCAGGAACGUAAGGACAUGCUCCGAGUGGGGCCACCACGACUAUGCUUCUGGUCUCCGUGAGAGGUCUGAUAGUUAGGGUCGAUCACAGAGGACUGGGUUCGAAUCCCUGUUUGGCCCACCAGCAGUGGUGCGACUGUGGAGAAAGGAGAGCUCCAAGACCCACUUUUCUCAACUGUAGAGGAGAGGUACUCUCCACCUCCCCGCCCCUUCCUGGGAUUUGAGUGGAUACAACGGCCAUCCACCCACAAACGGUCUAAGGGGUGGAGUUUGCGUCAUCUGUGUCUCCGGCUCGUCUCUGAGCUUCAAGGAUGCCCCCUGCUGUCCUGUGCGCCUUGUCCCAGCUGCAGGCAGAGAGGGCCGGGGUCCGCCCUGUGGCCCAGAGCAGGGGCACUGCGGGCGUUCAGGAGUCCCGGGUCUGCCAAGGCGCAUGUGGGAGACAGGCCUGUGUCAGGGAGGGGCCAGCGCAGUUAACACAGCCAGGGACGCAGUCCUGGCAAGGCACGCCGGGACCAGAUCCUACCCCACUGUGUGUCCCCCCAGAUUCGUACACCAAGACAUAAGCUCCAAGGUGACGAUGUUGGGAAGUGGGGCCUUUGGGAGGGGAUUACAUGAUGAGGGUGCUGGCCCGUGAUGGGGAUCGGCGCCCUGAGAAGAGACCUGGAGAGCUCUCCUGCCCUUGCAGCCUCGGAGGACAUGGGACGGGAUGGCCAGGAAGAGGGCUCGUAUCAGACCUCGAAUCUCCCGGUGCCUUGAUCUCGGGCUUCCAGCCUCCAGAAUGGUGAGAAAUCCACGUGUGUCGUUUGUGGGUCAGCUAGUCCACGAUGGUUUCCUUAUAGCAGCCUGUGAGGACUGAGGCAGCCACUGAUUUUCUUCACCCCUCUGAGCCUCCGCGGGCAGCUGCAGUGCCAGUGGGAUGCGUGCUCUGCUGGCUUCCGGUACUGGGAUGCCAUCUUUCUGUCCUCUCUCCCUGGCAUCCCUGUGCCCCUACAGUCCAACAGCGGUGAGGCUGGGAGUGUCCUGAAGGAGAGUUCUGAGUUGCCUUUGAAGGGCCACAGUAGGGACUUAAUAAAGAGCCUCCGUGGGCCUCUAAGUGGUGUUGG
rnacentral:lncRNA from 1 species